CGUGUAGGCUGCUUGGAAAGUCGGAUGUGAAAGCCCUGGGCUUAACCCAGGAAGUGCACUCGAAACUUCCAAGCUUGAGUUCUGGAGAGGGAAGCGGAAUUCUCGGUGUAGAGGUGAAAUUCGUAGAUAUCGAGAGGAACACCGGUGGCGAAGGCGGCUUCCUGGACAGUGACUGACGCUGAGACGCGAAAGCGUGGGGAGCAAACAGGAUUAGAUACCCUGGUAGUCCACGCCGUAAACGAUGGGUGCUAGGUGUCGCGGGCUUUGACCCCUGCGGUGCCGUAGCUAACGCAUUAAGCACCCCGCCUGGGGAGUACGGCCGCAAGGCUAAA
rnacentral:rRNA from 1 species